UACAGAGGUCUCAAGCGUUGUUCGGAUUCAUUGGGCGUAAAGGGUGCGUAGGCGGCGCGGUAAGUCGGGUGUGAAAUCUCGGAGCUUAACUCCGAAACUGCAUUCGAUACUGCCGUGCUUGAGGACUGGAGAGGAGACUGGAAUUUACGGUGUAGCAGUGAAAUGCGUAGAUAUCGUAAGGAAGACCAGUGGCGAAGGCGGGUCUCUGGACAGUUCCUGACGCUGAGGCACGAAGGCCAGGGGAGCAAAACGGGG
rnacentral:rRNA from 1 species